rnacentral:lncRNA from 1 species
UAAAUACUGGAAGGAUAGAGAAGGGAAAUAAUGGGCUUUAUUUUAUCCAUGACUUCAGAGGUAACAUCAUACAGUUAAAAUGAGAAAAUGAAUAGGAUAAAGAGUUACAGGACUGCCUGGAACAAUCUAGAGCCCUGAUGGAGAAUGGGAAUCACCAUAAAUAUCUCAAUUUUCCCUACAGAACCCAAGGUUGGCAAGUUCCCUGUCUUAAAAUCAUUCUUUCUAGUAAGAGGAUUUGAAGAUGGGAAGCCAGAUUGGCCAGGUCAGGAGGUUCCACUCUGUGAAAUCAGCGGCAUUCAAGACACAGUAAGGGUUUAAAAGCCAGAUGCAGUGCUCAAGAGUACUUGCCUAAUGAUGAGCUCUCUAAAUUUGCCAUUUCUGGAAUCUACACUAAUUCUGUUAAUACUUUUAGAAUGGCCCGAUUAUAAUUCUCGAUAAUGCUACAAACUUAUUCAUGCUACAAACGUAAUUUGAGGACUAGCCGGACACUGUGAUAGACAUGAUAAUCCAGAAAUGCACGACAGCGACUGGGGAUCCAUGAAAAGGUCAAUAUGGCUGGAUUUUUGGGUGCAAAGGAGAAGGGGAGGGGCUUAUUCUCCCUGACUUUAUAGUUAAUUGAAGACUGGAUUUUAAUCCUAAAAUUCAAGUUGCUUCCACAUUGAGAAGAAAAUUUAUAUCUAAGAGUUUGAAGUCACAGCUCCUCUGUUUUUGAAAACAAGAUGAAAAUUUGUCUUUUAAUCAUUUUUUAACUUAGGGAAAGGAAAUGUUCAAAGAACAAAAUUUGAAACUGUGGCGCCCUUCUGAGGAGGAAAGUCCCAUACAGCAGAGGGAGCAGAGGGUCCGCGAUGCGGGCCGAGCAAGAAGCAGGGGAGCUUCAGGACUGUGAGUGAGUUCUUUAAGAGUAUCAGGCUGCAGUGGCUUGACAGGGCUGUCCCAGAGAUGUUUCCUAGUAAUGAAGGAAAGCCUCAUGAAGGGCUAUCUCCUUCCUGAUUAUUUUACUUUUAACCCAACACAACAAAUAGAAGGCAGAUUUCCCAAACACACCAAGGAAGUUGAACGGCCUGAAGAAAAUCUGACAUCUGCAAAUCAGCAUGGACUAGCUCUCAAAUACUUUGCAUGAAUAAUAAAUUAAAAUGGCAGCUCAAGCAGGACAGGCAG